AUAUUAUAUAUAGGCCCAUGCCAUGUGUCAAAGGGAGAACGGCAUUUCUCCAAGGACAGAUAAUAUUAUUUAUAACAGAGGUCUUGCAGUUUUCAGUGAUAGUAUCAAUUGUUUACAGCUGCCUGAAACAAGAAGUUGAGUUGGUCUGAUAAGAGCUUGAGGCUUGGGUCCAAGCCAGAUACUCUUACCAAGGCUGCAGUGGUGAGUGUUACAAGCCUCUGUAGCCAGAGAGUUGCUGAAAAAUUAGACUAUUUUUUGGGUUGUAUCCAGCUGUGUGCCCAGUUCUUGCGAAGGGAAGAGCAGAUAGUUUCUUCCCUUUCUUUCUCCCCCUCCGGAGGCGCGGUGCCGCGGCUGGGCCAGCAGAGGGAGGUCACGGCUCGCCGGGCGCAGCGACGCCGCCGGCCCAGAAGCUGCAGUACAGCAGGGAGCGAAGAGCAGCCUCCAGCAGCGCCUCGGCAGCUAAUCGGCGGUAGAAGCCGCCCACCCGACUGGAGAGAUUCUAAGCAGAAUAUGAAGCUUUGCUUGUUGUACUUCUAAUAUCUCUAAAGAUUUUCUCAGAGAAAAUAAGAAAACAAACAACAACAACAACAACAAAACUUUGUGGGGACAAAAUACAUCCAGAAUAUAUAUAUGUAUUUUACUACAUUUCAAAGAAACCCAUUUCAGAUAAAACAACAAGAUAAUGGUGAUCCUAACGAUACCGGUGUUGUGAUCAGGCUUACUUCUGACAAUUUGAUCUUUGCUGAAUUGCUGUGACUGGGACUUCUUUAAUUUUGAAACAUGUUCAAAAGGCCUGUACUGAUAAGUGCAGGAGAACUCAUUCUGUCACAACUAUUUAUUUAUUUAUUUAUUUAUUUGCUGUACCCCCUCCUACAUGUGUGAAUAUUCUCAAGUGGAGAUAAUUUUGACCUACUUGUUCAAGACAAAAGCAUAAGCGUGCAUUCACUGCAUAACUGAAAUCUUACACAAAUGUGAGUGAAACUUGCUUAAUUUUGUAUUUAUUUAAAUGUGUUUUUUUUAUUAUUAUUUUCCUUUAUUAUUUUUUUUUAAUUAACAGCAGGAUCUGUAUAGUGUGUAAAGACAUAGUCUUAGAUGAUUCUUGUCCCUUUCUUUUGUUACUACCACAGCAAAAUCACUGUUGUUAAAUCAGACCAGUCCCUAAAUGUGGAGCAGUAGGAUGGAGAUGAAGUGAUAAACAAUGGACUGCAGUGUUUUUGUUUUGUUUUGUUUUAGUGGAUUUCUUUUUUUAUAUACAUUCAGUUAAUGAUUUUCCCAUCAUAAUCAAUUUAGCUAAAAUCUUCUUUUUUAUUGUUUAGGCAAGUACUAAAGUAGACCUGUAUGCUACAGAGAGCAUAAAAUUCUUUUUUUUUCUAGGCCCAUCUAUCUAUAGGCUUCAUAUUCUUACUUCAGCUCCCAUCUUCCUUUUCUCAUCAUUCAAGUCCACAAUUAUUCUGCUUUCCAUAUGAAAGUUAUUAAUAGGUUUUGAUAACUUUUUGACAAAGAAGGGUGGGAACGAUUCUCCUUUGAUUGGAAUUACUUUAUGUGAUUCAUCUGCACAAAGGUGUACUGAUAGCACACAUGCACCAUAUUACCCUCUUCUCCACUUAUAAAUCUCCCACUAGUGGGAGAUUUAGCAGUUGAUCUCUUCCAACUUCCCACUAGCUUCCUGACCUCCAGUUUCACCUUUCUGACACUACACUCACAUGCACACAAACACAGUUCUUCGCAGCUUACCUGGGGAUUUCUUUUUCAGGGACUAUCUUUAAAGUGAUACAAGUCAUUUGAGCUGCAGAAUAGCUACACAAAACCAGAUUGGCUAGUCAUAACUGCUGGUCAUAACAAGCCUUUUGUAAAACUCUAGCCUGAUUUUAUUUUAUUUUUCUUAUUUGUUUAUUUCUCCUUUCUAAUGGAGUGCUCAUCACAAUGCCAUUAGAGUACUCUUUAGACUGAUGAAUCAAAAUAAUCCUAUCUCCUGUUUUUUGUAAGUGUAAGAAGUGUUUCUAGAAGGCUUUAGAUAAAAGGGUAUAUUUAAAAACAUAACAGCAAAAGCACAUGCAUGCAUUUACCUUGCUGAAAUAUUUGGCAAAGAAAUGUGUCUUCCAUCUGGCAUGAUAAGCUUGUGAAGGUUCUUCACACCCAAAGUCUGUGACAGAACUAAAGCAAGCGAACAAGAAAGAUCUUCCUCUGAAAAGAUGGCCUUUAUUCCAUUGAGCUCUCUUGUGCUGGAGGACAUUUAUCUGCCACGAGAUUUAGAUCAGUUAGAUAUUUGGGCAAAGUUCUUGAAACACACUGGUCAAAUGGACCAAGACCUUGAGCUUGGCAUGAAGUUCUGGCAGUGUGCAAAGGAAAAUUUUGUUGAUUGCUUGCCUGUGUUGCUAAGGCAUACUGCAGCAUUUUGUAUAGACUGAGCUUCAAACUUCCUGCUGAAGUACCUUGUAUCACUAUGGUUUGGCUGAGAAAUGACUAAGAGCAGAUGACUAGAUGUCUGGAUACCAUAUGGUCAUCUUUCUGUAAAUUAUGGGGAUUACAGUCUGAAUUAAGUCUUUUACAUGUCAAUAAAGGAAAACGUACUGUACAUUUGAACUCUUCCCAUCAGUACUGACCUGUCUUCCUACUGAGUUCAGCUGAUCUUUUUUUUGUCUAAUCUCUGAUGGAACAGUGAUGCCAGCUGAUGUCUUUUUAUGAUCCUGCCAGCUCAAUCAGAUCAAUCAUGUAGUAAUUGAAAGCAGAUUAUAAAAAACACUAGAGGAAGAAUUACUUCUCUUUAAGAGUCUGCAAAAGAAUAAACCUAGCAGUAGAGAUGUAAUUUUCUGUCUUUUCUAACAGGAUGCAUUCUUCUCUAAAACAACUUACAUUAUGUUAGUUGCAUGUACUGAAGUUAGAAACUUCUGCCACUUGUCAAGCAAGACAUCAGAAUUGCAUGGUUAUCUGUGUAGUGCAAAACUAAAAUCCAGGAGGAUAAGAAGAAAUGUUUAAAUUCUUUUCAGUGAUUGAUGGUACUAAUGGUGACUUUUCUCAUCGGUAUAGCCUUACCAAACAGCCUCAUUUCACAGGUCACCUCCUUUUGCUAGGUUAGUUGUUUUCCCUUUGUCUCGAUUCUCUAAAGACGUACUGGGGAUAAAACCUAUGAUACUGGAUAUUAAAGAAUGAUGUAGCCAAAGUUGAU